AAUCAUGCAUAUAAGAAAUCAACAAAGACUCAAAUAUAAAUCAUAGAUAAUCUGAUCACAAAUCCACAAUUCAUCGGAUCUCGACAAACACACCGCCAAAGAGGAUUACAUUGGAUAGAUCUUCAUGAAGAUCAUGGAGAACUUUGUAUUGAAGAUCCAUGAGAGAGAAGAAGCCAUCUAGCUACUAACUACGGACCCGUAGGUCUGAAGUGGACUACUCACGAGUCAUUGGAGAGGCGAUGAUGUUGAUGUAGAGGCCCUCCAACUCCAAAGUCCCCUCCGGCAGGGCAC
rnacentral:lncRNA from 1 species